UUCUUGUAGCAUGCUUUAAAUAUAGUUCCGGAUCACUACCAUUUAUGUCAGCCAUCUUAGUGGGAGACUGAUUAAGGAAAGCUAUGAAUAAAUCACCAUCAUGUGUAAAUAGACAUCUUUGUUCACUUUUACUAAGAUAGACAAUAUCUUCAGGUGGUUGAAUCAUUUCAGGUUUUGUUGGAGAGUACUGGUUGACUGAAUCAAUAGCCGACUGAGACGGACUGACGAAAGGUGAAGAAGGCGGCAACAUUCCAGAUGUAGGUCUAGCAGGUGACAGUUGAGUAGCUGUAUAAGCAGGAUAUGGAGAAAGCAUUGAAUAAUGGCUUGAUGGACUUGACAGAAUAGUUGCACAGUUAGAUUUGUAGAUGGGCUUGGUACAUGGAAUAGUAUCUUGUAUAGGUGUUCCAAUAGCUUGGAGCCAUCCUGACUCCCACUGUGCUAAGCGUCAUCAUUAGAAGAUAAUAUGGAAACAACUGGCGAUGCUGUCAAAUACCUCAAAGGGUUUUCCUAGCUACCUGAUGUGCUAAGACGAGGUUGUUCUGUAGUUGCUGAACAUAGUUGUCGACUGUUAGGGGAUCCUGAUUUUCGGGUAACCCUAUCACUGCUGUCAUGGAUUCUAAGUUUGAGAGUUCAGUAGUGACAGUGGAAGCUGACAUCUCAUGAUCAGAAGACUGGGUUGAGGAGAAUACAAUGUCAUCAGAAGGCAGUUCAGGAGCUAUACUCAUUUGAUGAAAUCCCAUGUUCAAGUCCAUGGUAGAGAACCAGCUGUUGUUUGCCAAACUGUCUAGACAUUGACCAAUGUCUGGAAGAGGGAACGCAUCACGUUUACAGAGCACAUUGACGGCCCUAAAAUCAACACAUAGUCUGUAAUCUCCUGAUUUUUUACGUACUAACACCGUGUUGCUACUCCAGGGUGAAAUGGAUGGCUCAAUUAUACCAUGAUCUAGAAGUUUCUGGACCUCUUCUCUCUCAGCGUCACGUUGAGCUAAGGGGACCCUACGCAUAGGUUGUUUGACAGGUUUAGCCCCUUGUGUAUCAAUGUGAUGUUGUACGCGAUCAGUGAACCCAAGAUCUGUUGAAGAUUUGGCAAAUAUUGACUGAUAUUUUAUCAACAAAGCUUUGAAAGCAGUCUUUUGUUCGUCAUUCAGAUUCUCGGAACUUCUUUUAAAACAGUCAACUAAAUGUACAGGAAGAUCUGUGCCUUCUGC